GAUGAAGAACGUAGCGAAAUGCGAUAAGUAAUGUGAAUUGCAGAAUUCAGUGAAUCAUCGAAUCUUUGAACGCACAUUGCGCCCCCCGGUAUUCCGGGGGGCAUGCCUGUUCGAGCGUCAUUUCACCACUCAAGCCUCGCUUGGUAUUGGGCAACGCGGUCCGCCGCGUGCCUCAAAUCGACCGGCUGGGUCUUCUGUCCCCUAAGCGUUGUGGAAACUAUUCGCUAAAGGGUGUUCGGGAGGCUACGCCGUAAAACAACCCCAUUUCUAAGGUUGACCUCGGAUCAGGUAGGGAUACCCGCUGAACUUAAGCAUAUCAAUAAGCGGAGGA
rnacentral:misc_RNA from 1 species